rnacentral:misc_RNA from 1 species
CGCAGCGCUUUUUUGUGCACUUUCUUCUUCCGCCCUUUCUUUGACGCCCCCCCCUCCUCAACUCGAGGUGUGUGUGUGUGUGUGUGUGCGCGCGCGCUCGUCUACAAGUGCCUCUCGGCGUCCUCUGUUCCCCUGCCUCUGCCGCUCCGUCCUCGUGCUAGUGUCGUGUGCUGAGUCAUGCCGCAGGACAAGCGCCUGAUUGUCACCAAGGCGGUUCUGUAUAAACUGCAGCGCAUCUGUGCAAAGGACGGGAACGGUGGCAGCAGCAGCAGCGGUGGCGCGGACGAGGAAGGCAUCUAUCUCGAGUUCAUCCUGCCCUCCGUCAUCACCGCGCAGUGCCCGCGGCUGGUGUGUGAGCACCGUUUCCACUUGCCGCAUCGCGUGUACGCCGCCAAUGGGCGGACCACGUGCCUGAUCGUUCCCAAGGUCAUCUCGCACGACUGCGGCAAGAUCAACAAGCGGCACGGCUACUACGACGCGGUGGUGACGGCCGAAGCAAUCUGCAAGCGCGGCGACGCCGAGGCAACAAAGAGGGCACUCCGCGUCGCGGCCACGUUCAGCCAUUUUGUGGUGGAUGCCCGCAUACAGUCGAAGCUGCCGCACGCCAUCACGGACGCGGUGAAGGCUAGCUUGCCGUCAUCGGCUGCGGCUGCCAAUGCGGCGCCGAGCUCGGCAGUGCGCUGCCCACGCAAGAUGAUCACGCCGCUAGACGGCCUCGGCGAGCGCGAGACGCUUGGCUUCCGUCUCUCACAAGGCACCACCGCAGGGCUGGUGGAGUUGCAUAAGCAGGGUCAGCUGCUCUUCCGCGUCGGCCAUGGCGGCAUGACGGCCGGUGCAGUGUGCGAGAACGCGAAGACGUUCGUCGUCUCACUCAAGAAGGAGUUUCCGACGGUGUGGAGGUAUAUUCAGGAGUUCUCGCUGGUGUCCAACCGGACAGAGCGUAUCCGCUUCAUGGAGGUGCACAUAGCCAAGUGAGAGGAGGCGACAAGGGCAGCUCCGUGGAGGACAGGGAUCGGGGAGGAUCCAGCUUUGGCGGGUACGCGGAGGGAAAGGGGUGGCGUAGAGUCGGAUGCAGUUUUACUUGCGAUGCGCUCUUGGACCUCCUUGCUGCCCACCCUACUCCCACCCACCUCAACCGCACAUAUCCAUCUUGUGUCCCUCUCACGCCAAGGCAAUCCCGGUGGGAGCGGGUCGAUAAGGCGGACCCAUUUCGCAGCGGACGCGCCGCAUCGGUACACUGCGUGAGGGGGCAGGGGGCGAGAUGUCGCGUUGAUGAGGCUACUGAAUUGGGAGGCAACACAUGGCAUGGUAUCACCUCUGCUUUGUCCUACUCUCGGUCACUUCUCUUGUUCGCCACUAGGCUGACCCCUCCGCUGCCAGGAACAAGCAGGACGUUCUACGCAGCCUUUGGCCGCCCCCUCACCAUCAGCCCUCACCCCUCGCCCGUAUUUCUCGGUGUAGACGCCCAGGGAGUACGUCAUGUCCGUUGCGUGUGUGUGUGUGUGUGUGUGUGUGUGUGCUUGUUCGUGAGCGUCCGUUGGAUGAUCGCUCUGUUGUUUUCUCGCGCGUCUUUUUUUAUUUUCGGGUGGGUGAGUUCGGGAGUCGUAAUGACGUCACUAACGAACGACCUAAGACUGCCGCUUUCCCUUCAGUGGCCUUCUGUGACGUCGCUGCACGGCUCUGCUUUCCUUCCGCCGCUCACCUCCCCUCACCCUUUUAGGUGGUGAAGUCGGUCGUCCUCCGUCGGGUUCGAAAACGAUGCAUGAUGUUGCCUCAGCAUGGGAUGUGUCUCGGAUCCACCACGUUGCUCUCUUUCCUCCUCCUCCUCUCACGACAUGGCUAGCUUACCGCUCUGUGACACUCUCGGCCCUCCACCCCUCUCUCCCUGACACACACACACACACACACACGCACGCACACGCACGCACACGCAG